rnacentral:rRNA from 1 species
AGAGGGUGCAAGCGUUAAUCGGACUUACUGGGCGUAAAGGGCGCGUAGGCGGAUGAUUGGGUCAGUUGUGAAAUUCCAGGGCUUAACCCUGGGCCUGCAAUUGAAACUGGUUGUCUAGAGUUGAACAGAGGGGGGCGGAAUUUCCGGUGUAGCGGUGAAAUGCGUAGAUAUCGGAAGGAACACCCGUGGCGAAGGCGGCCCUCUGGGUUCAAACUGACGCUGAGGCGUGAAAGCGUGGGUAGCGAACAGGAUUAGAUACCCUGGGUAGUCCACGCUGUAAACGAUGAGUACUAGCUGUUGGUGUCCCUUGAGGCAUCAGUAGCGGAGCUAACGCAUUAAGUACUCCGCCUGGGGAUUACGGCCGCAAGGCUA